GGUUAUUUAAGCACAUUUUAUUUCAGCAUAUUAAAAAUUUCCUGUGUCUGCCAGUUCAGCACAUAACAUUUUAACAUUUCAUGUGAAAACACAGCAAACUUUUAAAGAAUCAAUUAUCGGUCCUGCGUACCGUAAAAUAAAUUCUGUUUUCGGUAUCACCAUAAAGCUUUUUACGUUAUUUUCAUCCAAAAGAGGGUUUUUGGAAGCUCAGGUUUUUGAGAGCGGAGCAGCACAACAGGGUUGUGAGAUGCGUUUUAUUUAAGUUAUCAGCCCAACGUUUUGGGACUUGGCAGCAAAUACGAGGGCUCAAACUGCAAGCGUGCACAGUAGCUGUGACAGCCCAUGCUGCUCUUGCAGCGAGGAAGCACAACCAGGCACACCCAUGCUACAUCAGUGCUCCAUCCACAAGCAGAAAACUUCUUUGCAAUAAAAGGAGCACUGUAACCUUGUAGCCUUUACUUCUUUUCUUCCGUAAGGCAGUAAAGAGGAUAUGAGUGCUAUGCAAUUUAUGUGCCCACUACACACUCCUAUUUACAUCUUAAAAAUACACCCUCAUUAAGCCCUUCAGUGUUAUCUGUGAUCUUUGAAGCAAAUGCUUUGGGUGCUGAUAUGCUAUCUCUGCUGGCAGAGCCUCCUUUCCCCGGCUGUGAGUGUCUCCAACACGUUGCAGCCUGUUUGCUCAGCCUGAUAAUGUCUUCACAUAGGACUUAAUGAACUCAUUACCCUUAAUGCCAUCGUAACAAGAGAGCUUGAUUAAUUAAGGGAGACCUGGAAAUGGCAACUUCAAAGCUGGUAGAAAAACUCAGAAUCUGCUCAGGAAUAAUGGUUACUGUGAAGGCGUUCUCUUUAACAGUGACUUUCUCACUACUUUACUUCAGUACAAAGAAAAUAAAAGCAAAUUCGCAUUAUGUCUGAAAGCAAAUGAAAGCUGUGGGUCCUCUGUUUCACAUGAAACCACCUCUGAGGAGCUCCGGGCAGAGCGGAGGCUGCGUUCGUUGGUUGCUCUUUGCGUUAAUGACUCCUCUGACAGAAACUGGAUCCUGAAAUGCAAAGAUUGGAAAUGAAAGGGGACAUAAUCUAAAAAAUUGUUGUUUCGAAUAUAUGUCAAAAUUGGAUUUGCAUUUCGAAAACCUGUGCCAAAACCCUUUUGUACCUUUUGUUUUCAUUUGUCCUUUAACGAAAGAGGGUUCCGUUGGGCUGCUGGGGCUUUUAAAGCUGGAAUCGUUGUUUCCAGGCAGACCAACAGCAGGAUCUCCAUUUGUUGAGAUGCACCCGUUUAGAUACGACAUCAAUUUAAUUUAUUUGUAUCGAUUUUGGCAAAUCAAAUCUAAAUGCACCCUAUUUUUUUUCAAACGUGAAUGUAUUUCUCCAAGUGAAGCAGCACUUCUUUUCUUACAACUUAAGAAAUGUUUUUCAGCUUUGUUUGUUCAUCCGUAACUUUACACAGUCAUCCACCGAUUAGUCCAGCUGAAUCCUGGUGUGUUUGUCUGACGAAUGACUGCUUAAACAGAAUUCUUUCUCCAAGUUGUUACUAAAAAGAGAAUCUCAUACUUGCAGAGCGUAUCUCUGAUACGAUGCUCACUCGUUUACAUCUUACUCCUGAAACCAGUAACGCAAUUUUACUUCCCCUCAG
ensembl:lncRNA